rnacentral:rRNA from 1 species
CACGUAGGGCGCAAGCGUUGUCCGGAAUUAUUGGGCGUAAAGAGCUCGUAGGCGGUCUGUUGCGUCUGCUGUGAAAACUCGGGGCUUAACCCCGAGCCUGCAGUGGAUACGGGCAGACUAGAGGUAGGUAGGGGAGACUGGAAUUCCUGGUGUAGCGGUGAAAUGCGCAGAUAUCAGGAGGAACACCGGUGGCGAAGGCGGGUCUCUGGGCCGAAAUUGACGCUGAGGAGCGAAAGCGUGGGGAGCAAACAGG